rnacentral:rRNA from 1 species
UCAUCUUCGGGGGUAGAGCACUGUUUCGGCUAGGGGGUCAUCCCGACUUACCAACCCGAUGCAAACUACGAAUACCGAAGAAUGUUAUCACGGGAGACACACGGCGGGUGCUAACGUCCGUCGUGAAGAGGGAAACAACCCAGACCGCCAGCUAAGGUCCCAAAGUCAUGGUUAAGUGGGAAACGAUGUGGGAAGGCACAGACAGCCAGGAUGUUGGCUUAGAAGCAGCCAUCAUUUAAAGAAAGCGUAAUAGCUCACUGGUCGAGUCGGCCUGCGCGGAAGAUGUAACGGGGCUAAACCAUGCACCGAAGCUGCGGCAGCGACACUAUGUGUUGUUGGGUAGGGGAGCGUUCUGUAAGCCUGCGAAGGUGACCUGUGAGGGUUGCUGGAGGUAUCAGAAGUGCGAAUGCUGACAUAAGUAACGAUAAAGCGGGUGAAAAGCCCGCUCGCCGGAAGACCAAGGGUUCCUGUCCAACGUUAAUCGGGGCAGGGUGAGUCGACCCCUAAGGCGAGGCCGAAAGGCGUAGUCGAUGGGAAACAGGUUAAUAUUCCUGUACUUGGUGUUACUGCGAAGGGGGGACGGAGAAGGCUAUGUUAGCCGGGCGACGGUUGUCCCGGUUUAAGCAUGUAGGCUGGUUGUCCAGGCAAAUCCGGAUAAUCAAGGCUGAGGUGUGAUGACGAGGCACUACGGUGCUGAAGUAACAAAUGCCCUGCUUCCAGGAAAAGCCUCUAAGCAUCAGGUAACAUCAAAUCGUACCCCAAACCGACACAGGUGGUCAGGUAGAGAAUACCAAGGCGCUUGAGAGAACUCGGGUGAAGGAACUAGGCAAAAUGGUGCCGUAACUUCGGGAGAAGGCACGCUGGUGUGUAGGUGAAGUCCCUGCGGAUGGAGCUGAGACCAGUCGAAGAUACCAGCUGGCUGCAACUGUUUAUUAAAAACACAGCACUGUGCAAACACGAAAGUGGACGUAUACGGUGUGACGCCUGCCCGGUGCCGGAAGGUUAAUUGAUGGGGUUAUCCGUAAGGAGAAGCUCUUGAUCGAAGCCCCGGUAAACGGCGGCCGUAACUAUAACGGUCCUAAGGUAGCGAAAUUCCUUGUCGGGUAAGUUCCGACCUGCACGAAUGGCGUAAUGAUGGCCAGGCUGUCUCCACCCGAGACUCAGUGAAAUUGAACUCGCUGUGAAGAUGCAGUGUACCCGCGGCAAGACGGAAAGACCCCGUGAACCUUUACUAUAGCUUGACACUGAACAUUGAGCCUUGAUGUGUAGGAUAGGUGGGAGGCUUUGAAGCGUGGACGCCAGUCUGCGUGGAGCCAACCUUGAAAUACCACCCUUUAAUGUUUGAUGUUCUAACGUUGGCCCCUUACCGGGGUUGCGGACAGUGUCUGGUGGGUAGUUUGACUGGGGCGGUCUCCUCCCAAAGCGUAACGGAGGAGCACGAAGGUUAGCUAAUCCUGGUCGGACAUCAGGAGGUUAGUGCAAUGGCAUAAGCUAGCUUGACUGCGAGCGUGACGGCGCGAGCAGGUGCGAAAGCAGGUCAUAGUGAUCCGGUGGUUCUGAAUGGAAGGGCCAUCGCUCAACGGAUAAAAGGUACUCCGGGGAUAACAGGCUGAUACCGCCCAAGAGUUCAUAUCGACGGCGGUGUUUGGCACCUCGAUGUCGGCUCAUCACAUCCUGGGGCUGAAGUAGGUCCCAAGGGUAUGGCUGUUCGCCAUUUAAAGUGGUACGCGAGCUGGGUUUAGAACGUCGUGAGACAGUUCGGUCCCUAUCUGCCGUGGGCGCUGGAGAAUUGAGGGGGGCUGCUCCUAGUACGAGAGGACCGGAGUGGACGCAUCACUGGUGUUCGGGUUGUCAUGCCAAUGGCACUGCCCGGUAGCUAAAUGCGGAAGAGAUAAGUGCUGAAAGCAUCUAAGCACGAAACUUGCCCCGAGAUGAGUUCUCCCUGAGACUUUAAGUCUCCUGAAGGAACGUUAAAGACGAUGACGUUGAUAGGCCGGGUGUGUAAGCGCAGCGAUGCGUUGAGCUAACCGGUACUAAUGAACCGUGAGGCUUAACCUU